CCCUUUGCCGUUCUCUCUCGCGACGUGCCCUUUCAAUCUUUUCCGUUUCACAUCUUUCACGGCGGGAAGCGGCGCCGGUUGUUCGGGCAAGUCGGUUCGCGCGUUUGUUUCCGACUUCGAAAACUGGCCGAGCGUGCUCUCCAUUUUGUGUCUUCGAUGCGUUAACCAAGGACCCUUGCUGACCCUCGGAGUACGCGGCGUCGCUUCUUUGACUCGGAAAGCGGAUUCUGCCUCGUCGAUACGGACAAAAAAAAAAAAAAAAAGUGCGAAAUCUGAGGUCAAGCAUCAUUGGAACACGCUGAAUUUUCUGCGGGUGCAUCAGCCUGUGGAAAUGUCUAAGCUAGUUCCCUGAAUCGUGAAGUGUCCAAUUUGUUAUAACAGCCAGCCACAAUGGAAAACUCUAGGAGGUGCAUUAGAAACAUUUUGCUUAUGUAGUGGCGUGUUAUUGAUUUAUUAAAAAUUCUUUGAAACCUUUGA